GAACAUCUGUCUCAGUCAUUCACAAAAGAGAACUGCACAGUAUCUGUUUGAACGUUACCAGUUCUUCCAAGAGCGAGCAGUCACAACUGUAUCAACAUAAUCAAUAUGCCUAAAGAAAUUAAAAUACACUCUUCUGUGGUAAGGAUGGUGCAAGUCUGUGGACAAAAUUCUUCAUAGGGGACCUCUAAGCUACUUCUGAAAGAGCUGGGAUCCUUCACAAUAAAGCCUCCUGAAGAAAUGCAGAAUUACAAUUUUCAAACCAUAAGAUAAUAUUGUCAUUGGACUGCAUUCAGUAGAACGUUUCUGAAGGUGCAUUUGGGAGCCAUGUGCUAUGACCUCUUUAGAAAAAUAUAAAAUCUAGACUCCUGAAGCCAGCAAAAAACUCUGCAAUUCAAGUGUGUUUUAUAUUGUUUUGUGCUGUAUCCUUGUAGAUCACAGCUUUGCCAUACUUAAAACCACACAAGUAAUACAACAGGGUGCUCUGACACUUGGAGAACAAUUAAAACCAUCCAUAUGGCACACUUGCAGUUUAUUAAUGUGCUUUUGCUUAAAAUAAAUACAUUCAGUGUCUCUAGGGAAACAGUCAAGGAAUAAAGCAAAACAUUUAUUUCAAAUCAAAUCAGCACAAAUACAAACUGCUCUACAACUCCAGUGUGUGGUGGUAAAAGACUGGAUUCUGGUUCAGCUACAUCUUCAACGGUUAUGUGAUCUAAAGUCAUGGCAAAAUGAUUUCAAAAGUUUAAAUGCUUUUACCAGAUUAGAAAAAUGCAUUUCUUUUGGAAAUUAAUAAGACAAAGUAACUUUAAAAAAGAAGAAGAAAAAAUGAAGAAAACACUUCAAACUUUUCAGCUUUAAUUAAUUCCUCAUUUUCUCUUCAGAAAAGUAUUGUAAAAACUUGCUCAAAACUGUCAUGUGUUGACACUGGCAGGAUGCUAGGCAGCCAUGAAAUCUUCUCACUCACUCCCCUCUGCAGCUGGACAAGAAGAUGAAAAAUUAACCUAACAGAGGAUUUCUGAGCUGAGAUAAGGACUGGGAGAGAGAUCACUCGUUAAAUACCAUCACAGGCAAAACAGGCACAACUUAGAGAUAUAAGGCGAAUUUAUUGCUAAGAAAAUCAGAGCAGGAUAAUGAGAAGAAAAUAAGCCCUUAAAAACAAAUUCCCCCCACCCCUCCAUUCUUCCCAGCUGUGCAAGGGGACAGGGAAUGGGAGUUAUGGUCUGUUCAUCACCCAGGCUUCUCCUGCUGCUCAGGGGUCGCUCCCACCAGAGACAGUUCUUCAAGAACUUCUGUAACGUGAGUCCAUCUCAUUAGCAACAGCUCU
rnacentral:lncRNA from 1 species